rnacentral:lncRNA from 10 species
GUGGAGUCUUGCUCUGUCAUCCAGGCUGGCAGUGGCGUGAUCUUGGCUCACUGCAAUGUCUGCCUCCUGGGUUCAGGUGAUUCUCCUGCCUCAGCCUCCUGAGUAGCUGGGACUACAGGCGCCCGCCACCAUGCCCUGCUGUUUUGUAUUUUUGAGAAAUGGAAUCAUCGUAUCGCUGAUCUACGUAAACAAACUGAAGAAUUGUCUGAAAGAAAAUA